UGCCUUCAUUUAAUUAAUCAGUCUUGACUGUGUGUGUGGUAUGCUGCAUUGUAGUACCGUUGCCGUGUCUUGUCUUCUCUAUUUCUGCUUAAUAAAUGCAUUUCGAGUUAUGCGUUGCGCUUUUUAGAACAUUCUUUUCGGCCGCGCGUUUAUUUCCAGCUUCCAGCUCGUUCGCGGAAUCGUUUCGGAACUCCUCUCGUGCGUUUCAUUGCACAUGGGAUCGAAGAGAAAAUGGCGCUUCUCCCAAAUCUAUUUUAUAUAAAAGGAGAUGGGUUUGCCCAGAGAGGAAGCGCGACUGGCAUAGUAAACUGCUCGAAUUUUCGAUGUCAAACUAUAAAACGCUCUGGUCUGAGUUCUUUAAGUUGUUUUCCCAAGCUGCGAUGUUUCAGGAGAUGACCCCGACGGUGCGUCCAACAGCUGCCGUGCAUGACCGUCUCCGCGCUCGAGUUCAGAGGCAUGAAGGGACAUUGAUCUACCUGUCCUGAGUGAGAAAUGUUUCCAAAAUACGUUAGCCUAUAUGUGCGCUUCAGGGAUAUGUGCUGUUCUCCAGUAAUAGUUUAGUAGACUUAUUUUAUUGUGAAUUAAUGGACCGAGGAGAAUACAAUGUUAAAACGCGUUUGCUUCUCAUGCGAAGACUGCGUGAAAGAAAUGCAUUUUUGACGUUAUGCAAUUGGCUUUUUUAUGCAUUUACAACUUAUGACAUGCUAUUUUAAAAAUCUCUUAUAAGUUGUCAAGUUCACCAUAUUCAUUCAUAAUUUAUGAACCUUUUUUUUCAUAAGCUUAGGCAGGUUGUAAGCUUGAUUAGGCUAUGUGAAGCGAUGAUACGCACGCUGGCCUAUUAUGGCUAUUUUUAUGCAUAAAGAUCUUGUUGUUUGUACACAUAACAAAUAUCAACAUAAUAGUAGUUUAAUAAAACUACUUUCAGGAUACAAUUAAAUUAUACCCUUAAAAAGUUUCAUGACAGUUGGAUGUAAUAUAGGCCGAGGUUCAAUCGGAGCAAUUCAUGCCAAAUACUGAUUUAAUUUACGAUCACCAAUCUUUGAAAAACAUUAUUCUCUUCAACUGUCUUUAUACUUGACAAAGACGUCAGACUUUUGCAGUUACAAAAUAUUUUACUAAAAUUUCUUAUAGGCUAGAUCAUAAAUGUUGCUCUUGUUUGUCUUAGUCUAAAGCUAGUCUUAACUCGCUUUAACUGUUGGCCUCAGAUAUAGGCUAUAAUGCUUAAAAAUAUUAAGCAGUGUUCAAUGUGUUAGUAGUCUUUUAUAUUUUAACACCAAUGUCCGUUUUGGAAAUUAUAGCCUACUCUGUCCCUGACGGCCUACACUUGAAGCCUUUUUUUUUUUUUUUGCAUAAGCAGUAUUAUUUUUUAAGAAGCAUUUGUGUUCAUCAAAGCUGCGUGUAUUUGAAUAAAUAAUUCAAAAGUAAAUUGAAAAUGUAUUUGCAGUCGUGUGCCAUAUAUGCGCGCAGGGGCUUGUUUGUGUCGAGCCGCUGCGGCUGUAAUCUCGUCCAUCUCGGAGAGUCUCUCUAGCCCAGUUUGGCCCGGGUUUGUGGCAGUCGCUCUUUCUGGCUGUUAAAUAUUCCUGUAGCAGACAUUCGACAGGUCUUUAAAAUAGCUUUCCUUUAGGCUAAGACAUAAGUAAUUGAAUUCUCAAUAGCUAAUGUCCUACAGGCGUAGGCCUACAUAAACUUAUUCUGUCUUGUUCUUAUAAUUAAUUUCUUUUUUCAAUUUCUCAAUUUUUAAAGGAUUUUGAUCUUGGCUUCAAUUUCUUGGCCGCAAAUAGGCCUUUCUCCUUUUCCCCACACGGCAGACUGGGUCACGCCAAACUGUCGCUGAAUCCAAGACGUCUGUGUCUAAAAUAAAUCUCCUUUUCUCUCAUUUUGCGUAGUCGACGGCUCUUGUUUUUGUGGCGAACAAUUGUUUUCUCGCUAAUUAAGUUUUUGUUUUCAAAGCAGAUACAAACUAGGUCUUUUUUCCCCCCAAUGUAAAAUAUAUAAGCCUGAACAGCAAACCGUUUGUAAAGUGCCUGCAACCGGUAUGCCUAUUAUUUUAUUUUUAAAGAGGUACCUGUGUUGAUAAUAAAUAGGCCUAUGUGCGUUUUUUAUUUAAUAAUGCUAAAAGUGUAUUUGCAGUCCUGUGCCAGGGCUGCUUAGAGCGCGGCCUAGUCAGCGCACUCGUUCAAUCGUACGCAUUCAAGUUGAGCUAUAAGCUUAAUGAAUAGGCUAUAUUCCUCUUUUACUGUAUUUAUACUAGUUUUAAGCUGUGAACUAUGGGUUUAUUUUUCCUUAGAGUUUUUGUGUUGUUCUUAGUACUUCUGCAGCCGUCAAUUCAACAGUUUGAAUAUUUCAAUAUUUGCUUUGCGCAGUCGGCGAAAAGGGCGAUUGGUGGAGAUCCAGUUAACAGUGAAGAGUAAACAGUAGGGUCAGUGGCAAACAAUGUCCAAGAUAAAAGGGAUACAUCUUUUAUAAAUGUAGUUUAAAACACAUGGCAAUUUCUUGAAAUGUUUUUUUUAUUAUUAAUAUUAUUUAGGCUAUGCCGGUAUAAACCGUUUUGAAAGUAUUUUUUUUUAAAUGAAAUAUUUUAACCAAGGUAAAAAAUAAAUAAAAAAUAAAUAUAGCCUACACGAUAUGCUACAAAUGCAAAUAUUUAAAGGUAACUCAGCUUGACCUGAACUGUUGCCCAUUCAUCAAAAGGUUAAAUUAUGUGAUUUUUCUAGAUAUACCCUCUCUGUUUUAUGGCUUUGUUGUCAUAUGACAAAAAAUGUCUACCUACACCACUGACUCUGAUUUGGCAGACAGCAGUGUUUAAAUAUUAAUGCUUUAAAACAGAAUUGCAUAGUUGCACAAAUUCAAUAGGGGUUUUUUUUUAUUUAUUUUUUUAUCUUUUAUUUUUUUCUCCGCUUUUAGCCUCAGAAAAGAAAUCAAAAUGACUUUCUGAAACGUAUUCAUCAUAUAAUAGGCUUAUAUUUAAGCAGGCCUAAUUUUUGGUAUCAUUUACGUAUAUAAAAAUGUAUUUUCUUUUCUUAGUGAAUCCGUUUGUUUAGGCAAUUGUUUUGCCUCGGGAGUUGAUAAUUAAAUUUGUAUUAGCCUGUUCGCAAUUAUUAGGUGUAAAUGUUUUUUCUUUUUAAUUGUAACAAAGUGUCUCAGACGCACCUGAGUAGGGAGAGCAUGCGAAGCAAUAAAGGCCACGACUUACGGGUAAAACCCCAAACCUCUAUCACACUGAUUUACAGCGUCCUCGUCUUAAAUCUCUCAGCCCGUGUUGGCAUUAUCUCGACUGUGAUUUUGAUUGCGGUGAUAAAAGAUCCUUCAAACCUGCAAUCGCGCCACGUAGUGCGUGUUAAAAGGAAUCCCUCCUUUGUCUCUUGUGGCUUUAGAUGCGAUUCAGAUUGCAGACUGGAUAAAUCUUGCGGCAGGCCACGUUUCAAAACUUGGGUGAGGUUUGGCGGUUUAUGGGACGUUUAUGUGCCUUCAGAGAAGAUGGAGACAAGGGGAGAGAGGGAGGGCGCGAUGUGUCCGCGCAGCCGAUGGAUUCCUUUCCACCAGCGCGGAUGUUCUCGAUCCCCCGCUAACUCUGUCCGGAGGUUUGUUUAGUUGUCUUUCUUAUUUAAUUACGGUUAAUUAUUAAAAUAAACGAGGACGCAUACUGCGCGGCAACAAAUGUAAACAAUAACUAAUGAAUUAUUAACGUUGAUAAAAGGCUUUCUGGAAUGGACUGAACAGGUGGGGAAUCUCAAGCUUCCUACGUAAUGGAAGUUAAGCAUGUGUUGCCAAAUGUGCCGCGGUGCAAAAUGUCGUUUGGGGAGUCUAAAGGCCUUGCAUGUAUCUCAGGACAAGUGGAUAGCAUUAAUAAUGUAUUUUGAAUUUUUAUACAUUUAUUUAGUUUUUCAGCAAGGGUGUAUCUCGGAUUUGAGGACAUUGAGGUUUUCACCCUGGGUAAUGGUAUUUCCUGAAGUUUAGCAAGUAUUAUAUUAUAGGUAUUAUAAUAUGUGUAUUCAUAUGUAUGUGCAUUUAUUUUCACAUAUAUAAAAGGAGGCCUUGUGGCUGAAGACAGAUAUUGAUUAUUAUGGGGAUCAAGGGGCAUUAUCAUCUGAAAAAACAACAGUGAUGUUUAAAAUAUGCUAUACUCAAAAAAAAAAAUGGCUUCUGUGCUUCCAUGAAGAACCUUUACCAACCAUGGAACCUUUUCAUUGUACAAAAGAUUCUUUAUAGUGGCAAAAGGUUCUUUGGAUUAUUAAAAUGUUCUUCAUGCUAAGAAAAAAAAGGUUCUUUUAAAAACAAUUCACUGAGAGGUUCUUUGAGGAACCCAAAAUGGAACUUCCAUGGCAUCGCUGUGAAACCCUUUUGAAACCUUUAUUUUUAAGAGUGCAGGUUCAGGCAUAUAUGUAUUGUCAAAUGAAAAUGUUUGCGCACAUUACUGACAGAGCUUAAUACAUGUAUUAAUUAGGCUUAAUACAUUUAGAAAUACAUAUCAAAAACCAAUGAGUCUGAAGUAGUGUAAUUUCAUGUUAACUUGCUCCAUCACAAACUUUAGGUUUGCUCGUCUUUCCCAUCAUAUUGUCUUUUUAUUUUUAUUUUUUUUUAAGUUUUACGGAUAUCUAUGCUGUUAGUGUAUAUUCGAUUCUUUAUAUUGUGUGGAUACCUAUUUAGUUUGACGGCAUAAUUUGCAUAUUGAAUACAUCCUUGCUCAAAAUAACAUGAAAUAUUGACUCGUUCUAAUGUUGGGUUAAAUGGAACAAUUUCUAUUGCACUGUUAACAGACUAACAUACAUUUCUUUAUCAUUCUUUCUUUGUUUUCUCAAUCAUUUGCUCUUAUAUACUGGGCUCAGUCAAGCAAUGAAAUCUCACUGCUUGAGCGAUUUGAUUUUAACCAAACAGAGAAUUGUUCUUACAUUUGGUUUCAGAUAAGCCUUGUUUGAGUCACCUGGACUGAAGUGCUGCUUUUGGCAGGCCCCACUCUUCACUCUUGAUAGAUAUUGCAGCUUUCCUAAACAUAACAGAGCAAUUUAACGAUUAUGACAAAUGCUGUUUUCCUGCCCUGUCUACCUAUUGAAUUUCCCCUUCCAAUAAGGGUCUUUUUGGGACAUGGCUCUGAGGGAGGAAGACAUUGCAUCAGACAUGCACAUUAACUACUCUUUCCUCCAGUUGUCUUGCUCAGCCUGGCAGGGAAAUGGGUGAAACGGGAGGCUUUAACUAGGAGAAAGUGUGUGGGAAUUGCAGAAUAUACUUUCAGAAAGCAGGAGAGAACAGGUUGGGACCAAGGCAGCAGCCCUGGGGAAUACCAUUCGAUCUCCAUCAUAGGUCAUGUCUAUAAGCAAAAAAAACACUGCUAUGUUAAAAUAACAACAACAACAAAGUCCAGCUAUAAAAUGUCAUACUCAAUAAAAAGCAUGACUGGAAACGCUUAUGUGUCCCUAGGCUGUUGCCUUAACGUGCUUGCCAUUCACCUGAGUGUGUUUUUGAUUACACUGAAGCAAAUAAAUCAUCAGACGUACUGAUCAAGCCACAGCGAAUCAGCAGAAGAUUCACAUCAAGAAACCAGAGCAUCUGCACGAACGUUAACAACAUUAAGAGUUACCGUGAAGUCUUUGGCUCUGUUCAGGUGUCUAGUUUCUAUCAGAGGACAGUACAAAUUGUUAAUAGCUUCAGAUUCCUCACGCAUGAAUCAUUUUAUGAAGGUGCAAUGGCGUUCCUCCCUCGCAGCCCAGCUUGACCCUGCUGCAGUACUGCUGGCAUAACCGUUCGGUGUGGUAACAAUAUGCAAAGUUACGUUAUAUUUAUGUUCCUGGCAGACAUCAUCUUAGAAAAUACAUGUGCUGUGUUUUAGCUGGCAGCUAAAGAUGCAGUUCAAGUGCUACGAUGAAACCUCAGGUUCUAGAAAGAACAAACGUGUCCGCUGUUAUAGCAGAAUUCUUGCAUUCUUAAAAAUAAAGGUUAUUUAUUGGCAUCUAUGGUUCCAUGAAGAACCUUUAAAACACUGUUAGACAUUUCUGUAAUUUCUACAGUUAUUUACUGUAUAUCAACCAGUAUAAUACUUCAAAUUCCCUUUACAGUAAAUAACUGUAAUAUCCUUUGCAUCAUGGGAAUUUUCUGUGACAUCAAACCCCACAUACAGAGACUUACUGUAUUUUUUUUUAAAAUUGCUGUAUACUACUGUAUUUGCCGUAACGGCCUCUUUGGCGCCAUUCUAGUGAGGUUGUUUUAGUUUACUCAUUUCUUACAUUUGACUUGACACGAUUUGCCCAACACCUUUUCUACAACGCCACAACAGCUUGGGACUGACUACACUGGACCCGUUACAUCGCUUGUAAUGACUGGAAAGUUUGUCCUUCAUGUCAGAAAUGGCUCGAGCGCUUGGAGUGCAUCUGUAUGGCAGAAAUAUACUGGGGCAUCACUUUACUGUCCGCAUCCACUGUAGAUAGUAUAUUAGGUUCUAUAUUGUCUUUUUGAGUCGCGCCACGCCACGCCAAUCGUGUCCGAGGAUGACACGGAAGCAGCGGGGCAGUGCUGCGGGUUUUGCCCGGAGUUGAAGAGCUCCAGAGAACGAUCUACGCUGUGUGUUGAUGCACCUUACGAGAGAAUAAGACCUGCAAGCAAGGCAACUGCAAUGAAGCAUCAAGAAAGACAUGAGCAGGCCAGCCACCCUGAGACUGAUAAUUCAUGAGAAGACAUUUGUCACUAACAAAGUGGAUGGUGAGCAAAGGUGGUGGCCAUGUUUUGGAGCAGCACCUGGGUUUUGCAGAUGGCUAUGCAUUUUUGUGAUGAUAAAUCCAGAGGACACAACAUAAUGCACUGCAAAAUGUCCUAAGACAGGAGAAAUGGUGAAGAUGCACUGUUCCAGCAUUGGAAGACUGUAUUUUUAAGUGUUAUAGGCUACAUACAAUGUUUUAAAUAAAGAAUUUGAUAUUUUGUAA